GCCGACCUCAGAGCAGGUGAGAUCCC
rnacentral:rRNA from 1 species